UUUGGACCGUCUCCAUCAAGGGCUGGUGGGUGGUAAUGGAUCGGAGGUUGCCGCUCUCUUUCUCUAUCAAAAUCUUGCUUUAGUACCAAAACCUUAUUCGCCUCUCUUUUCUCCCGAAGCUUUUGCAACAAUUUAAGUCUCUCUAUCUCACUCGGGGUUAUUAAAAGACAUAGACUAUGAUUGAGAAGGACAGAGAGAGAGAGAGACAAAGUAGUAUAGAUUAUUAGGACACGGUUGUACACUUUUUCAUGUGUCUUCUUCUCUCUUUUUCUUAUUCUUAUUCAUCAUCAUCACCGUCUGAUCUUCUUUAUUAACCCUACUCUCUUUCUCUU